AUGAUGAACAUAGAGCACAAGGCUUUCUGCAAGCUCCGCCGCUCCAUGCACCCCACCUCGCCAGCUGACAUCGAUCCUAAGGUCCACAGCACCGUGGAAAGAGCUGUGAGGAGCAUUCUGGGCGAGCAGUCCAAUGAGCCCCGUAGCAACCUGCUCAGCCCAUCUCAGGUGGUGGUGGAGGUGGUGCCCAGGCUCCUCCUGGCCCUGUGGCUUCAGCCAGAGGAAGGCCAUUCAGAGCACCCAAGAGAGAGAGACUUAGAGAGCACUCUGACAGGUGCCGUUUGUCAUGACAUCUUAGUAGAACCUUUCAACUGGCCAGUAUUUAGAAGCUACGGUUUGCAUUUGUUCACAUUCUGUUCCUCUUUUUUCCCUUUCCAGAGGAUGUUGCUGUGGUCAUCCCGGAUGUCACCCCACACGUCACCAAGGACGUGGCACUGGAAGUUCCAUGCAGAGCUAGGAAAGGGGCAGUCCGGCUAUUAUUUUGCAGGCUUUGGAGGGCAGUGUGCUGCUGCCCCUGCCACAAGGAAGAGGAGAAACAAUAUUAAUUAUUCAUCAGACCUUCAGAAAUGGGAUUGAACCAUAGACCAUUCAAUUAUUCGCAUUAUAAUUGGACUCAAUUCUGCUUUUCUUCUGUUUACUACUUAAUUUCAGAACAUUUCUAUAAACUUUCACUUUGCAAGUGUGGAGUAGGUUAUGUAAAUAAGUGAGAAACAUCACAAUUUUAAUGCUUUUAAUUAAAAAAAAGGGGCCCUCAACCAACGUUCAGUUGAGGUGCAACCAAAUAUUUGAAUCAUCAUAGAAAAGGAAAAGGAGCAACUCUUGCUCACUAUAAAAAAUGCAUUGUUUUAUUCAGGCAAGGUUAAAAGAUUAACGUUUUGGCCUAGUCUGUGAUGAUAUGCAAGUUGUGUUUGUAGCAGGAAAAGGGUGACCCCUUUAACGAAAUGGGACUUGUCAAUUCUUGAAUAAAAAUCUUUAAUGAACAUGAAUUUAUAUACAAUUGACUUGAGGAUCAGAGCAGGCAGGCUGACUGGCUAGCCCUGAAGGCCCUCUGCCUCUACCUGUGUGGUUCAUCUCAACCAAGAGGU
rnacentral:lncRNA from 1 species